ensembl:ncRNA lncRNA:CR44713 long non-coding RNA:CR44713
AUCAGUCGUUCUGCAUUAUUUUACGUAUCUAUAAUUUUAAAAUAAGGUGCCAUGCACCGAUAGAGUUUUUAAUCAAUAGAGGUUAACCACCCAUAAUAUCCGUUUGACCGAUAAUGGUUACUAUUCCAGCAAAUCGUGUGACUGUAAACCGAUUUUAGCACCUGAGAUUUAUUGAUAUCGAUAUUAAGAUUAUUAAGUUGAUUGCAUUUGAAAGUUAUAAAUUUAGGAUCGUAAUGAUAAAUAUUUCAUAAGGAACUGAUUAAAUAAUUUU